rnacentral:lncRNA from 1 species
GGGCGGGGCCCUCCGGCGGCGCGGCGCAGGGCCGGGCCGGCCUGGGCUGGGCCCCUUCGCGGCGAGGCGAGGGUGCUCUUCCCGGCGAGGCGAGGGGGUCUCCGCUCGCUCCCCGAGAGCUUCCUGGCGGUUUCACGCUCCUGAUGGCCGCGGCGGGGGAGCGGCAAGAUGGCGGCUCCGAGGCGCUCGCCUCAGGGCGGCGGGGCCGGGGCGCUGCGGCCGUACCUGGGCAGGGGCCGGGGCCGGGGCGACACGGUUGGGUCCAUGCGGCGGCGCCGAGCACGGCCCCGGGGCCCGUCAGGGAGCGGUUACCUGCUGUUAACAGCGUUUGUCUUCCCUGCUCCGCUCCCUGGUCAUUUGAGCCCCACGCGGGAAAGGUGACCCGUCCCUGGAGCCUCAUGGGUUCCUUUGCUCCUGGCUCCAGGACUGRGUGAUGAGGGACACUGGACACCGUGACAAAUUAUGGUAUUUCUUUUUGCUGCCUUAACAGUCCUGUACAGAGUCUCUGGCAAUGGCCACGUUCUCCUCAGCAGACCACUCUGUAUUCAGGCAUCAGGCUUGUGUUGUCCAGCAGAUUCAUCAAGCUGGCAGUGUAAUGACGAAGCUUGUCCCARUCCCACAGUGUCAGAGCACCUCAUGGUUGGCUUGGUGAAUCCAUCCUUGCAGCACUCCUAAGAAAUGGUCGUGAAGUCCUGGGGACCCCCAGGAGAGUUCACCAGCUGGAAAAUCUUUUGGACUGAGUUCCUGUAGCAUCUGAGGCGAACAGCUAAUCCAGGUGUCAGAAUACAGGUAUGGAUUAAACACUGAGCGGAAAGCUCUUAGUGGGGAGCAGUGUCACAUGGAGCUAUUUACAAAAGAAUAUAUGUCUGCAUGAGAAUCAUUUGGUGCAUCUAGCAGUCCUUCUGCCUUAAGGGCUUCCUUGAGGGAUUUUAGUCAUCCUAAUAUUUCUGCUCUUACUCCUUUCAGAUGUUUUUCUCUGCUUGUAAAGAGGAGCAUGGCUCUUGAUUCGGCAGAUAAAGGUAAAAGAUGUUUUGGUGGCUAGAAGCUAGACCUUGAAUCAAGGCAUACGUUUUUAAGCAAAUAAAAUCAGGCUCUAAAACA